rnacentral:lncRNA from 1 species
CAGUUAUAAUUCUGCAGAGUGUGGCCACUGCUUCUCCCAUCCUCCUUUCCCAAGGACGGUGGGGAUUGCUAUAGGGCUGGUAGGUAGUUUACCGUCCCUUCUAUAGGCAUAGAUUUGGCACUGACAUCACAGCUUCAUAACCCCCACCACGGCCAGCUUCCCCUGCCUGUUAUCCUAGAUCCAGUCUGUUCUUGUUCAUUGAGAAUCCUGUGUUCCCACUUCAGUGACACCUGAAUUUUUUUUUAAUUGUCUUCAAGGAGGCCUCAUCUGGUUGUGUACCUAGUCAAAUCCCCAUGAUAUCUCAGUAGAAGAAAGAAGGAGGAUCUUAAAACUUCAGGGAAGAAAUAAUUUCUUCAACGAAGACGAUAUAAGGUUGACACCAGAACUCUCAUGAGAAAACUGUAAACCAGAAGACAAUAACUUAACAACUUAUCCGUAAUUAUUUCUAAUCUAGAUUUCUAUACUCAGAAACUUUGUAAAGCUGUCUUUAGCUAAAUGAGAUAAAGAACUUGUAUCUCCGUCAAUCUAUUAUCUUAGGAAGUUACUUGAAGAAGUUUUCCAUCAAACUGAAAUAGAAAACCAAGAGAACAGAAGACAUGGGCUCCAGAAAACAGUAGCUCCAAUGUGAAAGAUCAAUACAGUUCACUAUCAGGAUGCAAUCAGCUCAUCCAGCCAAAAAAUCAAACAGACCAUAUUUAGUGCAGGAAAUUCAGAAACACCUGGAGGGGAAUUUCAAGAAAAAACAAAGGAAAGCAUGUAAUGAAUUGGAUUGGAUAAUAUAUGGAGAUGUUGGAAAUAAUAAUAUAUUAAAGGCUAUAAAUACAAGAAAAUCAAUUAAACAAUGAUAAUGGAAUCAUGAGGUGGAAAAGGAAAGGCUGCAAUACCUGAACUUAAAAGUAGCAAUUUAAUAUGAAGCAAAGGGAAGAUUACAUGGUAGUGAGCAACUAAUGUAGUGUAACUAGAGAAUCUAUUUGACCUGGGUAUCAGAAACAUUUCCCUUAAGGGGCUAAAGAGUAUUAACUCUACAAAGUGCACAUGACCCUAAAACACUAAGUAAUCUGUCAUUGAAAAAUAAAGUGUACAUUUAUUUGUAUUCACUUUAGAGUUAACCAGUGACUAAAGCAUAGGAACAUUGGUUGGGGCCAAAAGGGAAAAGUGUGAAUUCUGACAGCUUUAAUCAUAAUUUUAAAAAUGAUUCAAUAACUAAUAGAAAGUAGAAUAUAAAAGGCUGAGUGUGAUAAAGAAGGUGAGUGCAAGGGUAGUGGAAGUUAUAUUUCUGUUACAAAAUGGGAAAUUAGACAUAUUUUCAGACAGUCAAAUUAUUAAAAAUACAAAGCAAUCCAACAGUAAAACAGAAAUUCAAAUUCAGAGGAGAAAAGAUAGGUGUAGUUAGCUUCAGUAAUGUAAAUCCUCAUCUUUCAUAUUGAGAAUUAAACAGCAAUGGUCUUAAGUUGGUCAUUAAAAUGGUGUUGUAAACCUACUGUGUAGCAUUAUGGAGAUAUUCCCGUAAAUAAUAAAAUACAAAUUUGAGAAAUAUUAUUACAUUUACAAAGGUGUUAUACUAUUCUAAUAUGUACAAGAGUAAAAAUAAGAUUGGCAGCUGCGGGGAGAUGCGUGCAAAAGAGCAUCAGUGAGAGACAUGCUCUUCCUGUGUCAUCCAGGCUGGAGUGCAGCGGUGCAAUCACGGCUCACUGCAGCCUUGAACUCCCAGGUUCAAGUGAUCCUCCCACCUUAGCCUCCUGUGUAGCUAGGACUACAGGCAUGCAUCACCAUGCCCCAUGCCACCACGGUUACCACACCUUGCUAAUUUUUGUAUUUUUUGUAGAGACGGGAUUUUGUUAGGCACACCCAGGCUGAUCUGGAACUCUUGGGCUGAAGCCCACAUCCUCUUAUAGUGCUGGGAUUACAGGUGUGACCCACUGUUCCUGACCACCUCUAUGAAUUCCUAAAUAUACUAUAUGAAUUACGCUAUUUUCCUUUGUCUGUAUUCACAAGUGACAUUCACCUGAUGAUUUACAUAUUUUAUUUUGCGUAUAUUUUCUUUUCUUUGUUCACAAAGAAUAUAGAAAUGACAAUACGUGUUAAGUAGGUCCCAUUUCUUCAUUCCAUUGUGUUUGAUGUUUUAGUAUCAUUGGUAACAUUGUUUUUUUGUCAGAACAUUCUUGACUAUACAAGAGUCGAUCAUUUAAAGCUACUUUCAUUAUAAUCUUCUAAAGUACUCUUAGGAGAUAAUCAGGAAAAAACAUACAGAUAAAUAUAUAGAUAUGUUGCGGGAAAUCAGGGAUUCUGAACAGAGGGACCUGCUGAAGCUGUGACAGAAUAACAUAAAUUGUGAAGAUUUCAUGGACAUUUAUUCAUUCCCCAAAUUAAUACUUUUAUAAUUUCUUAUACCUGUCUUUACUACAAUCUCUGAACAUAAAUUGUGAAGAUUCCAUGGACAUUUAUCACUUCCCCAAUCAAUACUCUUGUGAUUUCCUAUGUCUGUCUUUAAUCUAUUAAUCCCAUCAUCUUCAUAAGCUGAGGAUGUAUGUCGCCUCAGGACCCUGUGAUGAUUGUGUUAACUGCACAAAUUGUUCAUAAAGCAUGUGUGUUUAAACAAUAUGAAAUCUGGGCACCUUGAAAAAAGAACAGGAUAACAGCGAUGUUCAGGGAAAAAGGGAGAUAACCAUUGGGCCUGACUGCCUGAGGUGCCAGGUGGAACAGAGUCAUAUUUCUCUUCUUACAAAAGCGAAUAGGAGAAAUAUCGCUGAAUUCUUUUUCUCAGCAAGGAACAGCCCUGAGAAAGAAUGCAUUCCCAGAGGGAGGUCUCUAAAAUGGCCACUCUAGGAAUGUCUGUCUUAUACGGUUGUAAACAAGGGAUGAAACAAGCCCCAGUCUACCGUAGGGCCCCCAGGCCUAUAGGAUCAGGAAAUUCCUGCCUAGUAAAUUUUAGUCAGACCGGUUGUCUGCUCUCAAACCCUGUCACCUGAUAAGAUGUUAUCAAUGACAAUGCGUGCCCAGUGGGACAUGAAAGUUAAUUAGCAAUUUUAAUUUCAUCCUGGUCCCAUGAUCUCGCUCUGCCCCCAUUUGCCUUGUGAUAUUUUAUUGCCUUGUGAAGCAUACAACCUCUGUGACCCACACCCUAUUCAUACACUCCCUCCUUUUCAAAUCCAUAAUAAAAACUUGCUGGUUUUGUGGCUUGGGGGCAUCACGGAACCUGCUGACAUAUGAUGUCUCCCUUGGACACCCAGCUUUAAAAUUUCUCUGUUUUGUAUUCUUUCCCUUUAUUUCUCAGACCAACCGACACUCAGGGAAAAUAGAAAAGAACCCACGUUGAAAUAUCGGGGGCUGGUUCCCCCGAUAUAGAUAUAUUUUUAAAAUCGAAGAGACAUUAUAAUGUUAUUUUAUUGUAUCUCUUAUUGAAUGGGACUUUCCUUUCUUUCUUUCUUUCUUUCUCCCUCUCUCUGUCUCUACUUCUUCCUUCCUUCCUAGCUUCUUUCCUUCCUUGCUUCCUUUCUUUGUUUUCUUCCUUCUUUGGAUAUUGCUGUGAACACAGCGUAUAGACAAAGUAAAAUCCUCUCUGCUAAAAUCAUGUGUUUAUGCACAUAAUAGGCUAACACUAUGGAUAUGCAAUCUACCAUUUGAAAAUAGUUCAUUCCAGACUAAUCUCACUUUAUUCACGAUUGUUAUAUCUUGACAUAUGUCCCCCCAAAACUUCAUAUGUUGAAUUGUAUUCCAAAACGUCAGACUUUGACUGUCUUUGGACAUAGGACCUUUAAAGAGGUCAUUAAUUUAAAAUGUCUUUAGAAUAGACCCUAAUCCAGUAUGAUUUAUCAGAAAAGGCAAUUAGGAUACACAGUGGGUCAACCUAUGUGAGGACACAACUAGAAGGAGGCCAUCCUCAAGCCAAGGAAAGGGGCCACAGAAGAACUUAGCUUGCCAAUGCCAACACCUUGAUCUUAAACUUCCAGGCUUCCGUAAUUGUGAGGAAGUAUUUUUACGUUGUUUAAACUACCCAGUCUGUGUUAUUUUGUUACAGCAGACCUAGUAAACUAAAACAACAACUUAGAUGCUUGUGCGUUUAAAGGUUGUAACUUUAACAUGCUUUCUUUUUGUUCAUUCACUCUCAUGUAUGUGUCUGCAUUCUCUUAGGUUAACUUUUUCACAUGUAUGACUUUGAGUACAAUCUUAUUGCUGCUGAUGCCGACCAAACCUUAGCCUCUAAUAAUUUAGACUCAUAUAAAACUGAUUAAUGGAUAUAUAAUUUAUUGUUGCAUGGGUUUCACAAACUCAGGAUGUCCCAAAUGAAUUCUUCAUUUUUUCUACAAUUCUGUUCAUGUGCUCGCAUACUUUCUACAGCAGUAAGUGGUGGGAUAUUCUAGUAAGUAGACCAAAUAUGGGAAUCUAUAAUUUCUGUGGCAAGUGCAUAGUCUAUUAAUUACUAUAAUGUGAUCUUGUCCAGUUGCACAAGUCCCCCAAUUAUAAUUGUCUCCCAUUAUUUUAUAUUUAGUCUUGAAAUUUCACUUAUAAAUAAAAGAAUUAGUUUUUCAAAUUUAAUAUAAACAAGAAACCAAUACCAAACUAAACAAGCACAAAACAAAUAAAAACGAUUAUAAUAUUUAUUAGGAUUGCCUGGAAUGUAAACAUAAAUAUGAGUAUAGUUAAUAUCUAAAUGAUAUUGAGACUUCAUAGUAGCCAUGAAAUUUUUAUAUAUUUUAAAUUAUUCAGGUGUUAUUUUCUUUCAGUAUAGUUUUAUAAUUCUCUGGAUACCUUUCUUAAAUUUAUUAUUGAAUUUAUGCCUAUGCAUUUUAUAUUUUUAUUAAAAUUAUAAGUGACAUCCUCUAUUAAAGAAUAUUUUCUAAAUGACUAUUGCUGGUUUAUAUAAAUGUAAUUUAUUUUUGCAUUUAAUUUAUAUUUAAUGUAGGUAUUUUGAGUUUUCUUUGUAGGAGAUAAUAUAAACUGCCAAUAUUCAUGCUUUUUCUUAUUAAACACUUUAUACCCAUUAUUGAUUUUUCAUUAUGUACUCCACAAUAUCUUUUAUUACAAAGUUGUUGUUAUCUUUUCUAUUGUUCAGGUUUUAAUGAAAUUCUUAGUAUUUUACUGUGAUGUUUACUGAAGGUUUUUGUAAAUACCCUUCAUUACGUUAAGUAAGUUUUCUUCUUUGAUAUGUGGUAAGAAUUUUUAUUAUGAAAGCAUUUUAAUUUGUUCAAAGCUAUUUUCUGCUUCUAUCAACAUGACAUUAUGCUAUUACUUUUCCUUAAUUAUUAACAUGGUGAAUAUAUUUUAUUAAUUCUGUAAUAUCAAACUUUACAUCCUUAUAAGUAAUGUAAAACAGGAUGUUUGAUUUAUUGAUAUUAGGUUAACUGCUUUUUUUUAACCUGAUAAUUUAAGUACUUUUAAAAUCAUUUGUUAAACCUCAAGAGAAAUGUAUCAAGAUUUCAUUGUUCUCAUAGUUAUUUAAAGAUUAGUAGCCCUCUUAAGUUCUCUGGAAAAUUACUAUACAAUUCUAGUAUAUAUUUUUAAAACUGCUUCUCAUCUUGAAGCAAUAAAGCAUUUGAGAAAAACACUAGAAUCAAGUUCUAUCAUCUCCAAUUAGAAUCUUUGUAGUUUUAGGAACAAUUUUUCUGCCUCAGUUUUCUCAUCUACAAAAUAAGGAUAAAAUAUUACUUAUAUACAUUGUUGUUUUGAGAAUAAAAUAAUGUACUAUAAUAGUGUAUUUUAUAACUGUACAUAAAUAAAUGAAAUGCUAUUGUUACAUAUAAUUACUAUCUUGUGUAAUUAAGUUCUGGUGUAUUUCAG